AACUUUCAGUAAUGGAUCACUUGGCUCUCGCAUCGAUGAAGAACGCAGCGAAAUGCGAUACGUAAUGUGAAUUGCAGAAUUCAGUGAAUCAUCGAAUCUUUGAACGCACCUUGCGCCCCUUGGAAUUCCGAGGGGCACACCCGUUUGAGUGUCGUGAACAUCCUUCAACCUUUCUUGGUUUCUUGACCGGGGAAGGCUUGGACUUUGGGGGUCUUUCAUUGCUGGCCUCUUUGAAGCCAGCUCCUCCUAAAUGUAUUAGUGUGGUCUGCUUUGCCGAUCCUUGACGUGAUAAGAUGUUUCUACGUCUUGGGUUUCGCACUGUCGCUUUAGACCCCGCUUCUAACCGUCUUGCAUUCAAGACAGAGUUUUAAACCUUGACCUCAAAUCGGGUGAGACUACCCGCUGAACUUAAGCAUAUCAAUAAGCGGAGGCU
rnacentral:misc_RNA from 1 species